CCUACGUGAGGCAGCAGUGGGGGAUAUUGCACAAUGGGGGAAACCCUGAUGCAGCGACGCCGCGUGUGGGAAGACGGUCCUCUGGAUUGUAAACCACUGUCCCCAGGGACGAAGAUGACGGUACCUGGGGAGGAAGCUCCGGCUAACUACGUGCCAGCAGCCGCGGUAAUACGUAGGGAGCGAGCGUUGUCCGGAAUUACUGGGUGUAAAGGGAGCGUAGGCGGGACUGCAAGUUGGGUGUCAAAUCUACCGGCUCAACCGGUAGCCGCACUCAAAACUGCAGUUCUUGAGUGAAGUAGAGGCAGGCGGAAUUCCUAGUGUAGCGGUGAAAUGCGUAGAUAUUAGGAGGAACACCAGUGGGGAAGACGGCCUGCUGGGCUUUUACUGACGCUGAGGCUCGAAAGUGUGGGGAGCAAACAGGAUUAGAUACCCCUGUAGUC
rnacentral:rRNA from 1 species